rnacentral:rRNA from 1 species
ACACGUGGCCAAACUACCCUACGGACCAGGACAACCUCGGGAAACUGAGGCUAAUCCUGGAUAGGGCUCCCAGUCUGGAGUGGCGGGAGUCCGAAAGGCUCAGGCGCCGUAGGAUGUGGCUGCGGCCGAUUAGGUAGACGGUGGGGUAACGGCCCACCGUGCCCAUAAUCGGUACGGGUCAUGAGAGUGAGAGCCCGGAGACGGGAUCUGAGACAAGAUCCCGGGCCCUACGGGGCGCAGCAGGCGCGAAACCUUUACACUGCACGACAGUGCGAUAGGGGAAUCCCGAGUGCGAGGGCAUACAGUCCUCGCUUUUGCACACCGUAAGGAGGUGUGCGAAUAAGGGCUGGGCAAGACCGGUGCCAGCCGCCGCGGUAAUACCGGCAGCCCGAGUGAUGGCCGAUCUUAUUGGGCCUAAAGCGUCCGUAGCUGGCCGAACAAGUCCGUCGGGAAAUCCACGCGCUUAACGCGUGGGCGACCGGCGGAAACUGUUCGGCUUGGGGCCGGAAGACCAGAGGGGUACGUCCGGGGUAGGAGUGAAAUCCCGUAAUCCUGGACGGACCGCCGGUGGCGAAAGCGCCUCUGGAAGACGGACCCGACAGUGAGGGACGAAAGCUGGGAUCUCGAACCGGAUU